CUGCAAUAAUCUUUUGAUGUUUUUUUCUACCUUUAUUUUCUUUUCAAAUCUAUUCCCCAUGGUGUCACAGGAAUAUUUCUAAAAUGCAGAUGUUACCAUGUUGCAUUACUCUCUCCCAAGUUUAGAAUUAACUACAGAGCUCUUUGUAAGAACUAAUUCCACUUUUCCCUGCUCAUCUCCAGACACUCUUCCAUAAGCACUUCACAAACCUUCAACUUUCUGUUUUUCUGUUAUCCCUUUAUAUCUUUGCCAUAUUGCUCCUUAUGACUGGAGUGGCCUUGAUACUUAUUUGGUUGGAUUCUUUCAAAGUCUGGCUCACAUGUGACCUCCUCAAUAAAGGUUUUAUGCAUCUAUGGGGACUGAAUUAAUUUUUCCAUUCAUCUGCAUUUUCCCAUAGUACAUUAUACUUAAAUAUCACUUGUUCUAACGUAUUGUGGCUAGUUUUUGUUUGCCUCCAUUUUAUUACAAGCUCCUUGAGUAUUCCUGAACUCUUGAAUUGCAUUUGUUCCCCAGGCCCUGGCAUGGUACCUAGAAUACAUUAGAGGCUCAAGUGUAUGUUGUUGUCAUUAAUAUCACCUGGUCCAUUUGAAGAAAGGUAUCCAUCCUUACCUUAUAAAAAGCUUUCAUCGAAUGUCAAUAUUUUUAUUAACAUUAUGAUAACAAUAGCUAAUGCAUAUAGUGCUUAUUAUAUAUCAGGUGUUGCUCCAAGGAAUUCAUAUAUACUAACUCAUUCAAUUCUCACAAUGACUCUAUUAUUAAAAUUAUUAUCCUUGUUUUACAAACAGACAGGUUAGGUAAGUUGCCAAAAAUUAAUGGAGUCAAGCUUCAAACCCAGCCACCCUGGCUCCACAGCUUACAUUCUUAAACCACAACACUGUAGUAUAUCUCUUGGGGAAAAAGCUGAUUUGUUUAAGAAAUGGAGUUUUAAUUUUUUUCCCGGGGUAAUACCUGAACAUUAGAGUAUGUUGACAUAUUGCCAUAAGUCUGGAUGGAUUGGUCUCCUUUCCCCACCCUCAUACUGUGUGCACACCUCCGUCAGAACCUUUAUCACACUACAUUUCAAGGCUUUGUUUCCAUGCCUGCCUCUUUAAUCUGGUUGGGAACAAUUUGAGGCAAGAGAUGUAUCUUUUUAAACUUAAGGUCCUAACCACACGUAACACGGUACCUGAUACUUGUUCAACGAAUGUUUAUUGAAUGAAAGAAUAAGUAAUAGUGCUUGCAUUUUUAAAGACAUUAAAAUUGCCACAUCCAUAAAUGAAAGUUGACAAGUCCUAUGACUUAUAACCAAUUAACUUGACUUCAAGAAAUAUCUGCAGAUUAGGUAUCCUGUCCUUUCUAAUGAGAGGAGUUUAACUGUGACUUUGAUCUCCUCUAUCUAUGGGUGGUGAUUAAGAUUUAUAGAAUCUGGAAUCAGAUUUGUCCGGGUGUCUUUACAAGACUGCUAUGAAAUUAAACGAAGCAUUACAUGCAAACUAUUUUCAACAUACAGUACUGUAUGGUGUUAGUGGUUAUAACAUCAUCAUUGUUACAAGAAUAAAUAGACUUAGCAUUGGUAUUUAAAUAUUCACUUAUCAAGUUUUGGUUUUGAUCAUGAAGCUUCUUCGCACUUCAAAGAAAGCUUAAGACCAUCAAAGACUUCAUCUUCAAAGAUCGGAAUUUUUGAAAUGGAUUUUGACACCAGCUCCCCCGCAGGAUGAUAAAUCUUCUCAGAAUCUCCUUCCAAGACUGCUAUCCAGCAAUCAUGUUUAGCAGUGAAACCAAAAAGACAGGGAAGGGAGAAUGGGCCAGGAACUGAGCCGCAUGGAAUGACAGACAGUAAACGAAAAGGGGUGUAAUCCGGGAAUCAUCGUGAUGUUAAACAGCAUGCAUCAAGCCGAGCGGAGAGACAGCUCUGUCGGCAUUACCCGCAAGAUUGUGAAUUAAUCGGUUGUUACGGUGUGCACCUGCGCUGAGAACCAGACCCUCGGAGGAGUCCAGAGAGAACUGGUUCUUGCUCCCCAGUGGCUCUUUCUGUGGUGCUAUUGAAUUCCAUACAUUUUCCCAGGCAUGUUCCCUCAGAGUACCUGCCUGCCACCUACAAUAACAGCAUCGCCUUGAAACACAUCAGACCUGAAUCGUUGCUUCUUCAGUUGUGCCUGUGCAGUCAGAUGCAGCGGCCAGAGUGACAGAGCCUCUGCCCUUUGGCUUAGGAUGGUCCAGAGACGCACAGCCCUCCCGAGAUUUGAACUGUACUUCCGCACCCUACCCCAGGUCUUACCAGCCCCAUGCCUUUGCUGAGGCCUGAGUGGUCCGAAGAUCUGUGCGAAGCUGCCCUCGUGUAUAGUCCUGCCUCUACAAAACAGCUAAUGGCCUGUGGACAGAAUAGCCAGGAGCAGCGAUCACCUGCCAAGAGAGAGAGCAAGAGAGCACAAGCAAGGGGGAGGCAGAAGGAGAAGCGACUGCAGGCUGAGCAGGGAGCCCAACGCAGGCUUCAUCCAGGGACCCUGGGAUCAUGAACUGAGCUGAAGGCACAUGCUUAACCGACUGAGCCACCCAGGUGUCCCUUGAGUUUUAAAACUUUAGAUGAAUGGUGUCAACCUGCCCACAUCUUGUAACUGACUUAAAAAAGAAUUGAACACUGUGACACAGAGACCUAUUCAAACGGAGUGAGUUCUUUCUAUGAGAUGCUGCGUUCUGUGACCCCAGUUUGUUCGCCUAUGGAGAAACAGCUCAUUCAUUGCUACUGCUUUGGAAUUACCAACAGGCUCUCCUCGGCAUCCACGUGCACACUCACCUCUCCUGGCACACGUAUACUACAGUUCCUCCAGGGACGAUGCACGGGAAUGGCGCUGCGGGGACAUGGGAACUCACAUCUCCAAACCAACACACCGCUUUCCACAAUACUCGUCCAUUGGUUUGAGUGUUUUGAGGCCUCAGAUGCAGUCGUGUCUCUCCAAGAUGGCUUAUGUUUGCUUCUACUAGUUGCCUGGAGAUACAACACGUCUGAGUGGUUUGAGGUUUAUCGGACCUUCUUGGCUGCAGGAAUUCAGACCGUAAACCACGGUGAGUGAUGAUUUGUUACAAAUCCUCGGGGGAGAUUUUGGUUUUUACUUUCAUUCAAUGGAAAGUUUCACACAGGUGUAGACCUGCCGCAUAACAGGUUUAUUUCCUUUUCAUUUUGAUACAGAGGGUAAAAGGCCCUUUGGGUAACUAGCUUUAUGCAGAGGGUUUUUGUUAGGUAUCCCACAUUAGCUAGUCCCAGGGCUUAUCCUCUGUCCUUGCCCCAUGCAGCCAUCAAAGUGGAAGCUCAAGGUCUCCAGGACGGAGCCAAAUUCCCUAGGACGAAAUCUGGCUGUGGUACACAUCGUCUCACAGAAUUCUAGCAUUCCAUCAUUUUUGGCCCCUCUGUGCUUUUUUUUUUUUUCUUUUCUUGCUAGCUUAGCAAAACAUUCAAAACGACUUUUAAUAUUUACUUUCUUAGAAAUGUAAUAAUUUAAUUCAAAGAAUCUACUCUGUAAUGUACCCAAAACAGAGAUCACAGUUAGGAUCUGUCACAUGCCAAACUCCUGUAUAUAUAAAAAUAUGUAGAUGUGUUCCUAAGCAUUCUUUCCCAUUCAUUUGAUUUUGUAAUCUAACUUGGUUGAGUCUCACUCUGAUUUAAUUUCUGAAUGUUUGCAGUUGUAAGAAUAGUAAAAUGUGAAUCCUUCCUUUUAAAAUUCUUUCACUGAAAUUGUUUUGUCUAUUUUUAGGUUUUAAUUCUUAUGGAUGAUUUAUAGAGUGAACUUAAGAAUUACAACAAAAGAAAGUUGUUAGGCUAUUGACUGAUCUUGCAUUUAACUUACAGAUUAUUUUGGAAAGACUUGCCGUCUUUAUGAUAUGAAAUCUUUCCAUCUCUUUCUCUCUCUCAAUCCAUUUUAUAUCUUUCAAUAAAAUUCACCAACAAAACAUAGUGAUUCAAAAUGUGUUAGCACCUAAAUAACAGUGAAAAAUUCAGUAGAACUUUAAAACAACAUAGACAAACCCAUUCAAAAUUACAUAUUUUAACACAUCUUUUUCAGUAAUUAACAGAAGAAGCUACAAAAAAGUUUAUAGAAAACUCAGCGUUAUUACUUAUCUUGCUUUAAUUGACAUUUAUAGAACAUAACACCUAACAACUGCAAGAUACACGUUCUUUUCCAGCACACGGAACAUCUGUCAAAAUAGGCCAUAUGAUAUAUAGUAAAUACUAAUAAAAUUUAAAAGAUUAAAAUCAUACUAUAAGUUCUCUCACCACAGUGAGAAUCAACUAGAAAUCAAUAACAAUAGCAAAAGUCCUAGAAAAUUCCCAAAUGUUUGGAAAUCAAGCAAUAUGUUCUGAAUGACCCAUAAUUUUUUUUAAAAAGAGAGAUAAAAUUAACAACUGUUUUGAACUAAAUGAAAAUAAAAAUAUGACACAUAAAAAUCAGAACAGUGCAGCCACAGCAAUGCUUUGAGGGAGCUUUCAUUUUCAAGAAGCUGUAAAAAGAGAGCAAAUUAAAUUCAAAAUGUAGAAAGCAAAAAAAUACUAAAGAUAAAAGAAAAAACAGCAAAAUAAAACCCGAAAGUUUGAUAACUAAAAUUAACAAAGUGAGAAGUUGGUUCUUUGAAAAGAUUAAUAAAAUUGAUAAACCCCCCAGCAGUAUUGAUCAAGAUAAAGUAGAAGCAAAAAAUAUUUUCCGAUAUGAAGAAUGAACAUUAAGUUACUAUUACUGAUCCUUCAGACAUUAAAAGGAUAAUAAGAGAUACUAUGGACAACUUUAUGGUGAUAAAUUUGACAACUCAGUUUGAAAGGACAAAUUCCUUGGGAAUCACCACUAAUCAAAACUACACAAAAAGAAAUAAAACUUAUUUGGACAUUUAAGUAAAUUUAGCAAGGUUGCUGGAUACAACAUCAACGAAAAAUUGUUUUUCUGUAUACUAGCUACAAGCAAGUGGAAAAUGAAAUGAAAAAUUAUACCUUUCGCAGUAGUAUCAAAAAACAUUAAAUACGUAGGAUUAACUCUAAUGAAGGAUGUGUAAAAAUACUAUGAGAAAGGUUCCAACACAGUUUUGUGAGAAAUUAAGCAAGUCUUAAAUAUAGUAUUUAUCGUGUUCAUGAAUAUAUCCCUUUGUUUACCGUGAAAAAAAAAAUCAACAUUGUAAAAUGUCCACUUUUUCCAAAUUGAUCCAUAGCUACAAAGCAAUCUCAAUCAAAUUUCCUUUUUAAAAUGGAAAUUGGUGACUUGAUUCUAAAUUCUGGUGGAAACGUAGUAUCUAGAAGAGCCAAGACAACACUUGUAGAAAAACAGAACCGCAUGACUAUUAGCUAGGAAGACUUACUAUAAUAAUACAGUAAUUAAUACAGUGUGGUACUGGCAUGAGGACACACAAAUAAACUCAUGACAUAGCAUAGAGGCCAAGAACAUACCCAUUUAUAUGAAGUCACCCGAUUUGCGGUGACAUUCCACCGCAAUUCAGUGAGUGAACAGAUGCUGCGUUAGUGGGGGUCUGUCCGGAGAUAGAAACCACACAGCGAAUUUGAACAAAGAGAAUAUAAUGUAAAGCAUUGUUCACAGAGUAAAAUGUUAUGAACAACUAAAAGGGCAACAGAGACUCUAAGUGUAACAACUGCAGAAAGCAAGAGCUUGAAAAGUUAGAGAAAGGGUUUGUAGGGUUCAUUCUCAGCUCGGAGGAGGGCUGGUCUCAGCUGCUGCUUCUGUUUACAAGCUUCGGAGGGCUAGAGGAGGAACCUGUGUGAUGGAUCCCAGGCCUCUGGAAAAGGAGUAUUGUUGCUGCAGAAGGACGGAACAUUCUUCUGCCUUAACAGGGAUGAAAUAUUGGCGGGUGCCACUCACGGAGACCACCAGCCACAGACGCCCUUGGGAAAAAACCAACGAACUAACAAACAGGAAAAAUAAGUUUUCUUUCUCCUCUAGCUUUGAAGCCUCUUUCUAGCAACUUCUGCUGGUAGGGCUUAACAGCAAGCCAGCUGGCAAAACAGAAAUGUGCUUUGCAAUGUCUCAGUCCCAGCAUCACAAAACAGCAAUAUGCUAGGUGGGUUUGGAGUGAAAAACAGUAACUAAUAAAAAACUGGCGGAUGUAAUGUUUGCAAUAAAUGAUAUUGCAACAACUGUAUUUCCAUGUGAUAAAAAAUUAACUUUAACUACUAUUUCAAACCAUAUAUAGAAUUAAUUCAAGAUGGACCAUAGACCUAAAUAUGAGAAAAAUCAAACUUUUAGAAGACACCAGGCUAUUCUGACAGCUUCUUCAACAGUCACAAAAGCCCUUAACCCCAAAAGAAAUAAUUGAUAAAAUAUACUUCAAUAAAUUAUAAACUUCUGUUUAUAAAAAGCCACCAGCAAGGAGUAAAAAAGGUAAACCACAGGCUGGGAAAAAAUAUUCAAAAUAGACAUAAAUCAUGGAACAAAAACAAUGCAAUUACAAAAAGGACAGAAUGAGAGAUAUAAAAGAGUCACUGGCCUAUAGAAAUCAUAAAGAUUUCACCAGCCAGCUUUGUCAGGUCCUCCAGCUCUGGGAAUGGGAACAGCCUUUGAUUAGACUUCAAUUCAAAGGACUUACAUCUAAUAUAUAUAAAGAAGAAUCAUUAAGAAGAAGAUAGAUAAUUUAAUUUAAAAACAGGCAAAGACUUGAGAGGCCACCCACAAGAAAGACCAUCAAAAUAUCCUAUAAAUAUAUGCAUCAGUUAUUAUCAAAGAAACUCAGUGAAAAUGCCAUAAUUUAUCCACUACAAUUGCUAAAAUUAAAGACUGAUAUUAAUAAGCUUUGGUGAGGAUGUGAAGCUCUCUUACACUGAUGGGGAGUAAAAAUUGGAAGAAUCCUUUAGAAAAACUGACAGUUCUGAGAAAAGCUAAACAUAAGAAUUCUCUAUUACACAAACAUUUCACUGCUGAGUGUUUACCUAACAGAUACAAAUAGUCUGUGUAUGCGAGAACGCUCAUAGUAACUUUCCUGAUAACAGUGAAAAACUGAAAAGAGGUCAGGGAUUGUAUGUUAUUUGUCUGAGUGUUUAAAAAAUCUUGUAGAGUAGGUAAGUAUUCAAUAAAUUGAGUAAGUAUUUUGGAAUAUGAGGAUGGAAGAGAGACAUUAGGAAGACCAUUCUAUUGGGAAACAAAGACAAAUAAAGCCCUCUGUCGCUACAGCAUGUUGUGUUUUUCAUUCCUUCCCUUUGCUACCAUACAUCAAAGCCUUAUUCAGCUACUUCGGAAUUGCAGCCCUUGUGUCUUUCUCCUCUACGGUUUGUUUUCUUCAUUUACAUUAAUCAUUUACAUUAAUCGUGUCUUCUCCAGCCCUGUCUCCUCUCUAUGUCCUCUCCCUGUGCUCCCUUGUAAAAAGGGAAAUUAUUUAUUUAAAUAAUUAAAAUAAAUAAGUAAAUAAAUAACUAAAACAAAACAAAACGCAUCCUGGAACACUGAAGUGUUUUUUUCCUCUUGUAAGCAUAUAAAAUGUAUAUUUCCUAAAAUACAAAGUUACAUUAUUACCCAAGUAUAUGAACAAUGAUACCUAGAAACCACAAAUUUAAACGAAAAUCCUUUUUGGGAUAUGAUAUUCUUGCUGAAUUGCAUAGAUAGAAUUUAUUUGCUACCAUGAUGAGCAAUUAUUUGUCAAGCAUAGUCAUUUUAUAAUUGCAUAGAAUUACUUCUAAAACUAAGUUACAGGUCAAGUAAAAAUUUCCACAAACUGCUCUACCAUGGUUCAUUUAUUACUAUUCUCUAGGAACUUGACCUUUUGAAAGGGGAUAAAAGGCUCAGGAAAUAAGAAUAAUUCCAUUUAUUUCCUUAGUAGUCUUAUCAGUGGGUAGCGUCAGAUGAAAAGAAAAGCCAGUGUUUUUAAGAAUGGAAACAUUGUGUAAUGACUCACAAAGGAAAUCCAGGACUACGGGCAUCAUGUUGGACAUAAUUGUGAAAUUAUGAAGAAAUACACUUCUUUUGUUCUCUCCUACCUCUCUUUCAGGACCUUUCCCUAGCGCGCUCCUGUCCAUUACUCCUCUGACCUCUUCUUACACUCUAGCUCCACGCUUGGAGCCUACAUCUGGGGUUUCAACUUUAUGUGUCCUUUUUCCUUUUAAUUGACUUCUACUUUUUAAAAAAAAUCUUUUAAGGUGUUAGAAAAUAAAGCUGAAAGUUCUACAAAAUGGAAUGAAGACUUACUUGUUUGAGACCCAAACAGAUGAAUGUCUAGUAUUUUUGGCACCAUGCUAGAACAAAGGGAGGUCUUUUGGGGGCAAGAGGACAUGCCCACAUUGCUUAAUUGAUAUGUGAAACUAUAUAAAAUUUAAAUUUUGGUGUUCAUGAAUAAAGUUUCAUUGGAACACAACCACAUCCAUUUACAAAUUGUCUACAGCUGCGUUUUUGCAAAAUGGCAGACUCGGGUAGGCGCAAUAGAGACCAUUUGACACACAAAGGCUAAAAUAAUUACUCCCUGAUCUUUUACAGUAAAAAAUUGCCAAUUCCUGAUGUAGAGCAUAAAAUGAAACAAUAAGCUAGAGCAUAGGCUUCCAAAUUUACAACACUCUUUCUAGACCAAAGACAACUUUUCAAUCCAGCAAAAAAAAUUUGUGUAAGGCUUAGGUUCAGUACCUCUUAAUGUCCAAAAACUAAUUUAAGAUUAAUAUUUUCAUGGCUUUUUUUGGGAAGUAUAGAAUUUCCAGUAAUAUCUUCUCCUUUCAGAUCUGAUUUACGUGAAAAACUUACGGUCAUUUCAUUGAAAAGUAAUUUUCUUUUAUCUUAAUGAGUUUCAUUAAGGAUUUACAGUGACGGAUGAGGGCUAUAAAGAUGAGUAAAAAAUUGGCCCUGCCUUAGAGGUGCUGACAGUUAAGUAGAGAAAGUAGAGAAAGCACAUAAAUACUGGCUUACAAUUUUUUCCCCAGUUUUACUGAGAAAUAAUGACAUACAUCACAGUAUAAGUUUAAGGCAUACAGCAUGAUGACUUAAUUUACAUAUAUGGUGAAAUGAUUGCUUCAGUAGGUUUAGUUAACGUUCAUCAUCUCAUCUAGAUAUAAUAAAAAGAAAGGGAAAAAUUACUCCUUGUGAUAUAAAUUCUUAGGAUCUAUUACGCUCCUAAAAACUUUACCAUGUGUCACAUAGCAGUGUUAGCUAUAAUCGUCAUGUUGUACGUGACAUCCCUACUACUGUUAUUUUAUAUCUGAAGGUCUGUACAUUUUGACCACCUUCUUCCAAUUCUCUCUUCCCCCAUCUCAUGUCUCUGGUAACCACAAAUCUGA